CCCCUCUCAGGGUCGCACCUGGAGAGUUUCCAGUCCUCUACCGGUCUCGGCUAUGGGAGGGAGAGUCAAGCGGAACUACCCAUUCUAUUCCUAGCUUGGGCAGUGGCUAGAGAGUGGAAGGCAACCUGCUACAAGU
rfam:Ornithorhynchus anatinus chromosome 2, whole genome shotgun sequence.